UCCAUUGCCCAUCACAGGGCCAAGAUGGCGUUGGUGGUGACAAGGGUGAAGAUGGAGAUCCUGGUCAACCGGGUCCUCCUGGCCCAUCUGGUGAGGCUGGCCCACCAGGUCCUCCUGGAAAAAGAGGUCCUCCCGGAGCUGCAGGGUCAGAGGGAAGACAAGGUGAAAAAGGUGCUAAGGGAGAAGCAGGUGCCGAAGGUCCUCCUGGAAAAACGGGCCCAGUUGGUCCUCAGGGACCUGCCGGAAAGCCUGGUCCAGAGGGUCUUCGGGGCAUCCCUGGCCCGGUGGUGAGCAUCUCUGCUAAAAGAUGCCAUUUUGAAAAUGUUUUAUUUCCCCCCCAAAAAAUUAUGAAUGAAAAUGUUUAUGUCAACAUUAUUUCAUAAGGUAUCAUAUGGG
rnacentral:lncRNA from 1 species